GGUUGACCUCGGAUCAGGUAGGGAUACCCGCUGAACUUAAGCAUAUCAAUAAGCGGAGGAAAAGAAACCAACAGGGAUUGCCCCAGUAACGGCGAGUGAAGCGGCAAGAGCU
rnacentral:rRNA from 1 species